rnacentral:rRNA from 1 species
GAUGAACGCUGGCGGCGUGCCUAAUACAUGCAAGUCGAGCGAACGGACGAGAAGCUUGCUUCUCUGAUGUUAGCGGCGGACGGGUGAGUAACACGUGGAUAACCUACCUAUAAGACUGGGAUAACUUCGGGAAACCGGAGCUAAUACCGGAUGAUAUUUUGAACCGCAUGGUUCAAAAGUGAAAGACGGUCUUGCUGUCACUUAUAGAUGGAUCCGCGCUGCAUUAGCUAGUUGGUAAGGUAACGGCUUACCAAGGCAACGAAGCAUAGCCGACCUGAGAGGGUGAUCGGCCACACUGGAACUGAGACACGGUCCAGACUCCUACGGGAGGCAGCAGUAGGGAAUCUUCCGCAAUGGGCGAAAGCCUGACGGAGCAACGCCGCGUGAGUGAUGAAGGUCUUCGGAUCGUAAAACUCUGUUAUUAGGGAAGAACAUAUGUGUAAGUAACUGUGCACAUCUUGACGGUACCUAAUCAGAAAACCACGGCUAACUACGUG